rnacentral:rRNA from 1 species
GACAGAGGGUGCGAACGUUGCUCGGAAUUACUGGGCGUAAAGCGCGUGUAGGCGGGUGAUCAAGUCAGGUGUGAAAUCCCUGGGCUCAACCCAGGAACUGCAUUUGAAACUGGUCGCCUUGAGUGUUGGAGAGGGAAGCGGAAUUCCUGGUGUAGAGGUGAAAUUCGUAGAUAUCAGGAGGAACACCGGUGGCGAAGGCGGCUUCCUGGACAACUACUGACGCUGAGACGCGAAAGCGUGGGGAGCAAACAGG